rnacentral:tRNA from 1 species
UAGCUCAGUCGGUAGAGCGCGUGCCUUUUAAGCCCGUGGUCGUGGGUUCGAGCCCCGC